rnacentral:lncRNA from 10 species
GGGAGAGUGCAGGGAAGGCCACUUUUGGUGCAGAGCUAGAGAUAUUCCCCUUUAUCCACCCACAGCAGGUUGCAGUGACAGUGAAUUUUCCUGCAGAAAUUGUGCCAUCAAUUGCGUGAUAAAGGAGGAAUCCCGAAGUGGCUCUGUUUCUGUGACCUCAUCCUCCCAAAGGUUUUGCUCUAUUCUGAUGGGUGCCAUCUCCAUACUUCCAGCCUGGAUGUCCCAAACUUCAGGACACCAUGUGGAGUAAUCUGGACUUUUUCCUAUCAGCAUCCUCUAGGUUAUUUGGAUGAAAUGCUUAUUUCUUUUUUAACAUAAGCAUUGACUGGAAAUAUUGGUUAUUCUGUCUGAUAUUACAUGAAGGUCAGAUGCCCUCCAUGCAACCAUGAGGUCGGAUGGCAGUUUGAUGCUGAACCAGCAAACAAGCCUACUCAGCAUGAAACUAUGAGUAUAAAAACCUUUAUGAUGACCUACCUCCACUUGGAUCAAUGAAGAGGCUCUAUCUGGAAGGCUUAUCCCUGUUCCAUGUUGCAUCACGUGGAGAAGUUCCCUAAGUGUUGGAGGAUUCACUUCAGGAUGACUCACUCACAUCUGGAGCAAGAAGACAACUUAAUUAAGAGACAGCAUUUAAUGACAAGGAAAGAAAAUGUUCCUUAUCUUGUAAAUUCCUUCGCUAAUGGAAUCUUCCAGCCCACCCUGGGAAGAAGAGUUGUGGACAUAGACACAUACAGAGAGAAGACCAUGUGAAGUCACAGGGAGAAGACAGCCACCUACAUACCAAGGAGAGAGGCUGUACAAGAAACCAACCCUGAUGACACCUUGAUCUUGGACUUCCAGCUUCCAGAUUUACAGGAAAAUAAAUUUCCGUUGUUUAAGCCACACAGUCUAUGGCAUUUUGUUAUGGCAGUUCUAGCAAACUAAUAUACAGCCUAUAUCAUAUACUACUCAGUUUGACUACUUUUAUUUUGGAACAUAUUAUACUUUUGCUACUUUUGCUUAUGCAGUUUCUUUUGCUUAGUGUCCCUUGCUAGUAGAUAUUUAUAUUUAAAGAUAUUUUAGGCCUGGCACAGUGGCUCACACCUGUAAUUCCAACACUUUGGCAGGCUGAGGUGAGUAAAUCACUUGAGGCCAGGAGUUUGAGAUCAGCCUGGCUAACAUGGCGAAACCCCUUCUCUACUAAAAAAUACAAAAGUUAGCUGG